UACGUAGGGUGCGAGCGUUGUCCGGAAUUAUUGGGCGUAAAGAGCUCGUAGGCGGUUUGUCGCGUCUGCUGUGAAAACCCGAGGCUUAACCUCGGGCCUGCAGUGGGUACGGGCAGACUAGAGUGCGGUAGGGGAGAUUGGAAUUCCUGGUGUAGCGGUGGAAUGCGCAGAUAUCAGGAGGAACACCAAUGGCGAAGGCAGAUCUCUGGGCCGUAACCGACGCUGAGGAGCGAAAGCAUGGGGAGCGAACAGG
rnacentral:rRNA from 1 species